rnacentral:rRNA from 1 species
UGGGGAAUAUUGGACAAUGGGCGAAAGCAUGAUCCAGCCAUGCCGCGUGUGUGAAGAAGGUCUUCGGAUUGUAAAGCACUUUAAGUUGGGAGGAAGGGCAGUAAGCGAAUACCUUGCUGUUUUGACGUUACCGACAGAAUAAGCACCGGCUAACUCUGUGCCAGCAGCCGCGGUAAUACAGAGGGUGCAAGCGUUAAUCGGAAUUACUGGGCGUAAAGCGCGCGUAGGUGGUUCGUUAAGUUGAAUGUGAAAGCCCCGGGCUCAACCUGGGAACUGCAUCCCAAACUGGCGAGCUAGAGUAGGGCAGAGGGUGGUGGAAUUUCCUGUGUAGCGGUGAAAUGCGUAGAUAUAGGAAGGAACACCAGUGGCGAAGGCGACCACCUGGGCUCAUACUGACACUGAGGUGCGAAAGCGUGGGGAGCAAACAGG